rnacentral:lncRNA from 1 species
AGCCUAUCAGCUACCCUGAGUUUUCAAAGUCUUGGACAAACCUGUAAUUUGGAAAGCUAUUCUGGAUGAAAACCAAGAACUCUUAACUAUUCAUAUUGCUAGUGUGUUUUCUUUCAUUUAUCCUGGCAAGGAGACAGAGGAUAACUGUUGGGGCUGUAGUUGAGGAUGGCAGCAUCCUGCAACCUUGCUGGGGAAGUACUGGGCAUGAGGCAUGCAAGGCUGAGGCAGAACACCUGCCUACAUCUGCAGCUUUUGCAAGAGGCACUUCCAAAGCAGGUCAUCACUGCUGACCAAGAGGAGCCCAGAAGAUGUACUGAAGCCACUGUCCCCAGUGUUCCUUGCUCUGUGCUGCUCCUGAGACGUCCUGCACAAGCUCCUUAUUUGCAUCGGGCUGCUUGCAAGCAUGUGGAUGAGUAUCCCACUGGGACCACACCACUGCUAAUGUGAUGGAGACAGAACGGCAGGUGAUAUCAAAGCCCCUUUGUGGAGAGGCCCCCAGCUGCCAGUAACAUCUCCAUGGGAUAAGAGUAGGGCUGCGAUAAGAAAGGCAAACACGAACUGCUGGUACGAACAACUCCAUAAAAAUUCCCAGAAAUUCAAGUCCAAUACCAAGUCCCUCAGGAGACGAAAGGAGCUGGCACAUCUGGAUCAGGGAUCUCACAAGAUGUGACUUCCACAGCCAUGGGAG